GGCAGCAUGCCAGAGUGAUUAAUGGGUGGGAUUUGGGAUCCCAUGGGUUCGCCCACAGGUUCGAACCCUGCUGCUGUCG
rnacentral:tRNA from 2 species